rnacentral:pre_miRNA from 1 species
AAAGCUAUGAGGGGUAAAAUCACAUCUUAUUAUGAGUUAAAGUAGUGAUACCAGACUGUACUAAAUUAGCAGUCAUUACACUGUCUACCACUAACUUUCACAUUAAAAAAAAAAAAAGCCAAUAAUUAUGUCCUAGAUCAGUGAUCAGCAA